UGGGGAAUUUUGGACAAUGGGCGAAAGCCUGAUCCAGCAAUGCCGCGUGUGUGAAGAAGGCCUUCGGGUUGUAAAGCACUUUUGUCCGGAAAGAAAUCCUUGGCUCUAAUACAGUCGGGGGAUGACGGUACCGGAAGAAUAAGCACCGGCUAACUACGUGCCAGCAGCCGCGGUAAUACGUAGGGUGCAAGCGUUAAUCGGAAUUACUGGGCGUAAAGCGUGCGCAGGCGGUUUGCUAAGACCGAUGUGAAAUCCCCGGGCUCAACCUGGGAACUGCAUUGGUGACUGGCAGGCUAGAGUAUGGCAGAGGGGGGUAGAAUUCCACGUGUAGCAGUGAAAUGCGUAGAGAUGUGGAGGAAUACCGAUGGCGAAGGCAGCCCCCUGGGCCAAUACUGACGCUCAUGCACGAAAGCGUGGGGAGCAAACAGGAUUAGAUACCCUGGUAGUCCACGCCCUAAACGAUGUCAACUAGUUGUUGGGGACCUCAUUUCCUUAGUAACGUAGCUAACGCGUGAAGUUGACCGCCUGGGGAGUACGGUCGCAAGAUU
rnacentral:rRNA from 1 species